GGUCAGUGGUGAGUGCGGGCAUGUGUCGUCUGAUCUAGAGUUGAUGGCUGUCAUCACUUUAGCUCUAGAAUUACUUGGAGACCCA